GUGAGUCAUCGAAUCUUUGAACGCACAUUGCGCCCUUUGGUAUUCCGAAGGGCAUGCCUGUUCGAGCGUCAUUUAAACUCUCAAGCCAAGCUUGGUAUUGGGAGCUGCCCGCACGGGCAGUCCCGCAACACGUUGAGCGUGACGCCGAGACUUCAGACGUAGCAAAACUUUCGUCUAGUUGCUCUCGGCGCCCCCGCCGGCCAACAAACCACUUCAAAGUUUGACCUCGGAUCAGGUAGGGAUACCCGCUGAACUUAAGCAUAUCAAUAAGCGGAGGA
rnacentral:misc_RNA from 1 species